UACGUAGGUGGCAAGCGUUGUCCGGAUUUACUGGGCGUAAAGGGCGUGCAGGCGGUCUGUUAAGUUCAGGGUGAAAGCUCCCGGCUCAACUGGGAGAGGUCCUUGGAUACUGGCAGACUUGAGGGAGGUAGAGGAGAGUGGAAUUCCCGGUGUAGUGGUGAUAUGCGUAGAUGUCGGGAGGAACACCAGUGGCGAAGGCGGCUCUCUGGGCCUUUCCUGACGCUGAGACGCGAAAGCGUGGGGAGCGAACCGG
rnacentral:rRNA from 1 species